rnacentral:rRNA from 1 species
ACGGGAAGAGCCCAAACCAACAAGCUUGCUUGUUGGGGUUGUAGGACACUCUAUACGGAGUUACAAAGGACGACAUUAGACGAAUCAUCUGGAAAGAUGAAUCAAAGAAGGUAAUAAUCCUGUAGUCGAAAAUGUUGUCUCUCUUGAGUGGAUCCUGAGUACGACGGAGCACGUGAAAUUCCGUCGGAAUCUGGGAGGACCAUCUCCUAAGGCUAAAUACUCUCUAGUGACCGAUAGUGAACCAGUACCGUGAGGGAAAGGUGAAAAGCACCCCGGAAGGGGAGUGAAAUAGAACCUGAAACCGUGUGCUUACAAGUAGUCAGAGCCCGUUAAUGGGUGAUGGCGUGCCUUUUGUAGAAUGAACCGGCGAGUUACGAUUUGAUGCAAGGUUAAGCAGUAAAUGUGGAGCCGUAGCGAAAGCGAGUCUGAAUAGGGCGUUUAGUAUUUGGUCGUAGACCCGAAACCAGGUGAUCUACCCUUGGUCAGGUUGAAGUUCAGGUAACACUGAAUGGAGGACCGAACCGACUUACGUUGAAAAGUGAGCGGAUGAACUGAGGGUAGCGGAGAAAUUCCAAUCGAACCUGGAGAUAGCUGGUUCUCUCCGAAAUAGCUUUAGGGCUAGCCUCAAGUGAUGAUUAUUGGAGGUAGAGCACUGUUUGGACGAGGGGCCCCUCUCGGGUUACCGAAUUCAGACAAACUCCGAAUGCCAAUUAAUUUAACUUGGGAGUCAGAACAUGGGUGAUAAGGUCCGUGUUCGAAAGGGAAACAGCCCAGACCACCAGCUAAGGUCCCAAAAUAUAUGUUAAGUGGAAAAGGAUGUGGCGUUGCCCAGACAACUAGGAUGUUGGCUUAGAAGCAGCCAUCAUUUAAAGAGUGCGUAAUAGCUCACUAGUCGAGUGACACUGCGCCGAAAAUGUACCGGGGCUAAACAUAUUACCGAAGCUGUGGAUUGUCCUUUGGACAAUGGUAGGAGAGCGUUCUAAGGGCGUUGAAGCAUGAUCGUAAGAACAUGUGGAGCGCUUAGAAGUGAGAAUGCCGGUGUGAGUAGCGAAAGACGGGUGAGAAUCCCGUCCACCGAUUGACUAAGGUUUCCAGAGGAAGGCUCGUCCGCUCUGGGUUAGUCGGGUCCUAAGCUGAGGCCGACAGGCGUAGGCGAUGGAUAACAGGUUGAUAUUCCUGUACCACCUAUAAUCGUUUUAAUCGAUGGGGGGACGCAGUAGGAUAGGCGAAGCGUGCGAUUGGAUUGCACGUCUAAGCAGUAAGGCUGAGUAUUAGGCAAAUCCGGUACUCGUUAAGGCUGAGCUGUGAUGGGGAGAAGACAUUGUAUCUUCGAGUCGUUGAUUUCACACUGCCGAGAAAAGCCUCUAGAUAGAAAAUAGGUGCCCGUACCGCAAACCGACACAGGUAGUCAAGAUGAGAAUUCUAAGGUGAGCGAGCGAACUCUCGUUAAGGAACUCGGCAAAAUGACCCCGUAACUUCGGGAGAAGGGGUGCUCUUUAGGGUUAACGCCCAGAAGAGCCGCAGUGAAUAGGCCCAAGCGACUGUUUAUCAAAAACACAGGUCUCUGCUAAACCGUAAGGUGAUGUAUAGGGGCUGACGCCUGCCCGGUGCUGGAAGGUUAAGAGGAGUGGUUAGCUUCUGCGAAGCUACGAAUCGAAGCCCCAGUAAACGGCGGCCGUAACUAUAACGGUCCUAAGGUAGCGAAAUUCCUUGUCGGGUAAGUUCCGACCCGCACGAAAGGCGUAACGAUUUGGGCACUGUCUCAACGAGAGACUCGGUGAAAUCAUAGUACCUGUGAAGAUGCAGGUUACCCGCGACAGGACGGGAAGACCCCGUGGAGCUUUACUGUAGCCUGAUAUUGAAAUUCGGCACAGCUUGUACAGGAUAGGUAGGAGCCUUUGAAACGUGAGCGCUAGCUUACGUGGAGGCGCUGGUGGGAUACUACCCUAGCUGUGUUGGCUUUCUAACCCGCACCACUUAUCGUGGUGGGAGACAGUGUCAGGCGGGCAGUUUGACUGGGGCGGUCGCCUCCUAAAAGGUAACGGAGGCGCUCAAAGGUUCCCUCAGAAUGGUUGGAAAUCAUUCAUAGAGUGUAAAGGCAUAAGGGAGCUUGACUGCGAGACCUACAAGUCGAGCAGGGUCGAAAGACGGACUUAGUGAUCCGGUGGUUCCGCAUGGAAGGGCCAUCGCUCAACGGAUAAAAGCUACCCCGGGGAUAACAGGCUUAUCUCCCCCAAGAGUUCACAUCGACGGGGAGGUUUGGCACCUCGAUGUCGGCUCAUCGCAUCCUGGGGCUGUAGUCGGUCCCAAGGGUUGGGCUGUUCGCCCAUUAAAGCGGUACGCGAGCUGGGUUCAGAACGUCGUGAGACAGUUCGGUCCCUAUCCGUCGUGGGCGUAGGAAAUUUGAGAGGAGCUGUCCUUAGUACGAGAGGACCGGGAUGGACAUACCUCUGGUGUACCAGUUGUCGUGCCAACGGCAUAGCUGGGUAGCUAUGUGUGGACGGGAUAAGUGCUGAAAGCAUCUAAGCAUGAAGCCCCCCUCAAGAUGAGAUUUCCCAACUUCGGUUAUAAGAUCCCUCAAAGAUGAUGAGGUUAAUAGGUUCGAGGUGGAAGCAUGGUGACAUGUGGAGCUGACGAAUACUAAUCGAUCGAAGACUUAAUCAA